CCUUUAAGUUUGGCCGGCAGGCAGCCGCAGCUCUCGCGGGAUCCGACACUCUGAUUAUCGCGAGAGAGGUAUUCGGCACCCAUUGGCUGUGAGGGUUGAAUGUAAGAUGGCGCCCAGGGAGCUGUGAGGAGAAAAUCCUGUCGGUCUUGGAGCGGCGACGGCAGAACCGGGCCCCGGACGGUGCAGCCGGGCCGGCGGGUAGAGCGGAGGCAGCGGCGGCGGUGACGUCGCCGGAAUGUUAGAAGUCUUAAGAACUCAGGACAAGCAGCAGAAAUACAUGCAACAUGGUGACUGGUGUUUAAGAAGCACCUGCUAUAUGUGAACAAUUUAGAGAGAACCAGGACGCAGUCUUGUCUGCCUGGAGUUUACAGCCAAGAGGAGGAAAGGAGCUAAUUGCCCCCUUACCUGAAAUCUGUGACAUAAGGAAGAGCA
rnacentral:lncRNA from 1 species